ensembl:snRNA U6 U6 spliceosomal RNA
GUGCUUGCUUCAGCAGCACAGAUACUAAAAUUGGAACGAUACAGAGAAGAUUAGCAUGGCCCCUGUGCAAGGACUACACACAAAUUCGUGAAGCAUUCCAUAUUUUU